rnacentral:lncRNA from 1 species
AUUAUUGUCACAAAGUUAUAUGUAUGAUACCAUCCACAUGUUUAGUGUUGAGAACAUAAUCAAGCAUUCGAAUUUACUUUCCAAUUGUAUCAUAACACAAGACUGAGGAAAUAUGAUACACAACUUGCACAAGAAACACACAUUACACACAGUAUAAACAAAGCCAAAUACACUUCUACACGACCAGCCCAAGUGCCCCAAAGGUAUCACCUUUUGUGUUGCACGAUGCUCUUGGAGCUCUCAACUGUUUCACCUUGAGUUUCUUCUUCCUUGAUAGUUUCUUCUCCAAGUCCUUCACCCUACCAGAAAGACUCGAAAUGGCCGUCAGCUGCUCGUGCCCCGCCUUUAUCAGUUCCGCCACCAUCUCUCUCAGCCGCUCCUUCUCCUCCAUCAUCUUUCUACUCAUUUCACCUUCACCUUCACCUGCAUCUAUACCUUCUUUUCGCGGCGGGUGAUUGGUGUCGACAGCACCUUGUUCGGAAGGGUCGAGUUUGUCAGCAAUUGGUUGUUGAAACAUAUGCUCGUUAGGCUCGGAUGCUGCAUCUCCAGUUUCGUUACCUGCUUCCUCCUCUGUUCCAUGCUUCUCCGAAAAACCUCCUUUUUCAGUUUCCUGAGUUUCCACAGUUUGGUGAUUCUCUUCGACAGCAAUAGGCAAACGUGUGAGCGAGGCCUCUAGCUGCGGGGACUGAUCAGCUUUGCUUGAAUCUGCUUCGGCUGCUGAAUAAUGGUUCGUGCCUUCUGCAGCACAGAUGUCAUCAAGUACACCUCGGGGCAGCUCAUGAUCCUCGGUUUGUGCCACAUUUGUAGCCCCGGCUGAGGAAUCGCCCAGCAGAGACGAGAGCUCGGAACCCUGCCCAAGAAUG